rnacentral:rRNA from 1 species
AUGAAGCAUGGUUGUGUCUUCAGUGCGCACCGCCGGAUGAACGACAUGCUGGGACACGCUAUCCCUGAUUUAUGCCGCUUCAGCUUGGAUGAGUCUCCAUCGUGUGGAACCAGACUAGAAAGCUGCGACAAUGAUUCCCGUUGCCCACCGCUAUUGAUCGUGCCAUCCAUGAAGAACACCCGGUACUGGAACCUGGAGGAGGACAUCAGAUGCAAAUGCGCUGGCCUUCAUGAUUCCAGGACAUGCAAUCAUACCAGCCGAUGGUACCAUAUAACUGGAAUUAACCGAUGCAAGUCGAAGAAGGAUUGGCCGGUGCUGCCGGUUGGCGUCAAGUUCGAUCCCACGGAUCAGGAGCUGAUCGAGCACCUUGAGGCCAAAGUGAGUGCUGACAGCACGAGAUCUCACCCUCUCAUCGAUUUGUUCAUACCAACCAUCGACAGCGAGCACGGCAUAUGCUACACCCAUCCUGAGAAACUUCCAGGUAUCACACUGAGUGGCCUAAGCAAGCAUUUCUUCCAGCGCAAUUCCACGGUGUUCAAAAGGGGAACGUGGACGCGUCGCACGAUACAGUCGGAGUGCGGCAUGCAUGCGAUGUGGCACAACACCGGCAAUACCUUGCCGGUGAUGGUCAACGGCCGGCAGACGGGCAGCAAAAAGGUUCGGGUGCUGCACACCAACAAGAACUUCGACUAG